rnacentral:rRNA from 1 species
GAUUAAGCCAUGCAAGUGCAAGUACACGCCGGUAAACGGUGGAAACCGCAAAAGGCUCAUUAUAACGGUCGUAAUUUACUAGAUCUUACGAAAUUUUUACGUGGAUAACUGUGGUAAUUCUAGAGCUAAUACAUGCACACGAGCUCUGACCCUCGCCCGUCGGUUGCGCUACUUCGGUAGUUGCGCCGGCGGGUUUGGUUCGAUUAACGUCGGAUCGAGGUACGAGCGCUUUUAUUAGAACAAGACCAGCCGAAUAGCUGCCGGCGUUAGAUUCGUCUUCGCCUGGAGAUUGCGUUCGUUUGCGAUGAAUUUCGCUAUAAAUUUAAUGUUGGUGACUCUGGAUAACUGAAGCCGAUCGCUAACGGCUUUAAAGCCGGCGACGGUUCUUCUAAGCGUCUGACUUAUCAACUGUCGACGGUAGAUUAAAAAGCCUACCGUGGUGAUAACGGGUAACGGAGAAUCAGGGUUCGAUUCCGGAGAGGGAGCCUGAGAAACGGCUACCACAUCCAAGGAAGGCAGCAGGCGCGCAAAUUACCCACUCCCGGCACGGGGAGGUAGUGACGAAAAAUAACGAUGCGGGACUCUUUCCGAGGCCCCGUAAUCGGAAUGAGAACAAAACAAAUUAGUUAACGAGUAUCAAUUGGAGGGCAAGUCUGGUGCCAGCAGCCGCGGUAAUUCCAGCUCCAAUAGCGUAUAUUAAAGUUGUUGCGGUUAAAAAGCUCGUAGUCGGAUUUACAGUCAUGGCUGUGGCGGUCCGUCGUCAUUCUUCUUAUUCACCUGUUCGGAUGCCCGUACUCCUUAACGGGAGAUCACGGUGUAUUUCGUUCGGGGGGAGAUGGCCGCGGAUUCUUCGGAAUAAAAGCCGCCCUGUUUCCAUGACGCAAAAUUUGUAAAAUUUGUCCCCGAUCGCUCGUAUUAAACGGCCAGCCUUCGAGUUUAAAUCUCGCGCUAUCCGCUUUGUUUACGCAAAGACGCCGAGAAUACGUCGUUGCGUUGAGCCUAACGUGUCGCGCUUAUUGAUGCUCUUAACUGGGUGUCAGGCGCGGCAAGAUCGGGGACGCAUCACUUUGAAAAAAUUAGAGUGCUCAAAGCGGGCGAGGUGUUUUUUAAACGCUGUUUAUCGCUCGAACAGGUCAGCAUGGAAUGACGGAAUAAGACCGCGGUUCUAUUCUGUUGGUCUCUAGGACACGUGGUAAUGAUCGAUAGAGACUGACGGGGGCAUUCGUACUGCGACGCUAGAGGUGAAAUUCUUGGACCGUCGCAAGACGCACUACUGCGAAAGCAUUUGCCAAGAAUGUUUUCGUUGAUCAAGAACGAAAGUUGGAGGUUCGAAGGCGAUCAGAUACCGCCCUAGUUCUAACCGUAAACGAUGCCAACUGACGAUUCGCUCGUGUUAAUUUAUAAAAAAGAAUGACCGAGUGAGCAGCCUCCGGGAAACCAAAGUUUUCAGGUUCCGGGGGAAGUAUGGUUGCAAAGCUGAAACUUAAAGGAAUUGACGGAAGGGCACCACCAGGAGUGGAGCCUGCGGCUUAAUUUGACUCAACACGGGAAAACUCACCCGGCCCGGACACCGUAAAGAUUGACGUAUUAAGAGCUACUUCUCGAUUCGGUGGGUGGUGGUGCAUGGCCGUUCUUAGUUGGUGGAGCGAUUUGUCUGGUUGAUUCCGAUAACGAACGAGACUCUAGCCUGCUAAAUAGGCGUUCGAUUACUGGCCGGCUCUUUUGCUGUUUGUCUUUAGCUUCGGCCUCGUGUCGUUGCGGGGCAUUCAGCGGGAGUUGGCAUCGUCGAACGAAGUUUUAAUACAACUUCUUAGAGGGACGGGCGGCGUCUAGCCGCACGAGAUUGAGCGAUAACAGGUCUGUGAUGCCCUUAGAUGUCCGGGGCCGCACGCGCGCUACACUGAACGAGUCAACGUGCAUGUUGUCCCUGUCCGAAAGGAUUGGGCAACCCGUUGAAUUUCGUUCGUGAUAGGGAUCGGGGCUUGUAAUUUUUCUUCGUGAACGAGGAAUUCCCAGUAGGCGCGAGUCAUUAACUCGCGUCGACUACGUCCCUGCCCUUUGUACACACCGCCCGUCGCUACUACCGAUCGAAUGAUUUAGCGAGGUCUUCGGACUAUCGUAUUUCGGGAAUCGCUGCCGGUAGAAAUAUCGGUUGUCGUUUCGUUCGAGAUGCGAUUGGGAAAGAUGCCCGAACUAGACCAUUAGAGGAAGUAAAAGUCGAUCAUUU